UGAGGAAUAUUGGUCAAUGGACGGAAGUCUGAACCAGCCAAGUAGCGUGCAGGAUGACGGCCCUAUGGGUUGUAAACUGCUUUUGUAUGGGGAUAAAGUUAGGGACGUGUCCCUAUUUGCAGGUACCAUACGAAUAAGGACCGGCUAAUUCCGUGCCAGCAGCCGCGGUAAUACGGAAGGUCCAGGCGUUAUCCGGAUUUAUUGGGUUUAAAGGGAGCGUAGGCUGGAGAUUAAGUGUGUUGUGAAAUGUAGACGCUCAACGUCGGAAUUGCAGCGCAUACUGGUGUCCUUGAGUACGCACAACGUUGGCGGAAUUCGUCGUGUAGCGGUGAAAUGCUUAGAUAUGACGAAGAACUCCGAUUGCGAAGGCAGCUGACGGGAGCGCAACUGACGCUUAAGCUCGAAGGUGCGGGUAUCAAACAGG
rnacentral:rRNA from 1 species